AUCCAACUGACGAGUUCAAAAUACGACGAAACGCGUAUCAUGGAU
rnacentral:hammerhead_ribozyme from 1 species